AUUGAACGCUGGCGGCAGGCCUAACACAUGCAAGUCGAGCGGAUGAGGAGAGCUUGCUCUCUGAUUUAGCGGCGGACGGGUGAGUAAUGCCUAGGAAUCUGCCUGGUAGUGGGGGAUAACGUCCGGAAACGGGCGCUAAUACCGCAUACGUCCUACGGGAGAAAGCAGGGGACCUUCGGGCCUUGCGCUAUCAGAUGGGCCUAGGUCGGAUUAGCUAGUUGGUGAGGUAAUGGCUCACCAAGGCUACGAUCCGUAACUGGUCUGAGAGGAUGAUCAGUCACACUGGAACUGAGACACGGUCCAGACUCCUACGGGAGGCAGCAGUGGGGAAUAUUGGACAAUGGGCGAAAGCCUGAUUCAGCCAUGCCGCGUGUGUGAAGAAGGUCUUCGGAUUGUAAAGCACUUUCAGCGAGGAGGAAGGAGUGUGUGUUAAUAGUACACACCUUUGACGUUACUCGCAGAAGAAGCACCGGCUAACUCUGUGCCAGCAGCCGCGGUAAAAC
rnacentral:rRNA from 1 species